UUAUUGAAGGUCUAGUCCACUCUGCCUCAAUGUCCACUCACAAUAAUAUCAUAUAUGGCGCUGAAGGUAUUUUCCUUGGGUUUUUUAAAGCUGAAGGGGUUGUCAGUCAUCCUCUUGUAUGAUAUUUUAUUCCAACCAUGGGUGGCGGUGGCUUUUCUUCUCCUUUAAAUAUCCACUGUAGAUGAUGUAAGGAGUUUCUCAAUGUCCAUUUUACCUCUUAACAACCGAGCGCACCAGCAAUUUUAGGCUAGCAAAGCUUUUUUUUAUCAGGAAAGUGUCGAAAAUGAAAGAACAGGUGUACGUCUCGGCAACAAUUCGGCAGAAUAAAGGAACAAAAACACAACAUAAAUUGUUCCAGGAGAUGGCAGGGAAGUCUAAUUAACUGUUAUUAACUUGUCAAUCAAAGAUGGCGCGCGUUUCCUUCUUCCUCACUGGGCCGCGGUGCUCCGUGCUGCCCCCGCUGACCGGAAGCACGAUAGUCCGUGGUCCACUCUCCAUCUGUCCGAUCAGGUGCUGUCGGAAAAGCCGUGAACUUCCCUCUGAAUUCUGAAAAACAACUUGGAAAGUCGGACAUUUUUCGGUUCACGAGUUGCCGAGACGACGUCCUGUGACGCUGACAAAAAUGGCGGACGAAAGUAAACACUGGGCUGAUGCGUGUUUGUUGCGACAUGAACGCACGGAGGUCGGACUAACGGCUCGCUGCCUCGUAAGGCGAAACAUCCGAGGAGCCCGUGAAUGCAGCAUAUGAAGCAGGAGCUGACCCGCUUGGGACAAAAUACUAAUAAACAAAGAUGAAGCCUAUAAUAA